CUCGCGCGCUCUCUCUCUCUAGCUCUUUCCCGGCAGAUCAGGAGACUUCGGCUCCGCUCGGAGAAACAGCACAGGAUUUUAUGGUGGAAAACCGUUUCAUAGUUUUACCUUUUUCUAGGGACCGGCUGUAUGAUUAAGCUACAAUCUUCAAUGAGUAAGCAUAUCCCACAGUUCUGUGGUGUUCUGGGUCACACAUUUAUGGAGUUUCUGAAGGGCAGUGGGGACUACUGCCAGGCUCAGCACGCUGCCUAUGCAGACGAGUGAACAGCCAAACUCGCCAUCGAUCCAACGCACUUGAGCCACAGGAGGGACCCCGGAAAGUUGGCAGGACCGGGACUCCUCCCAGAACCAGCGAUAACUCGGCCUGGAUGGGGUAACUCCACCUGCUGCACACUGCCCUCGUCGGCUUCCGCCUGGCCAGAAUCAAGGUGGAACCAGCCUUGGUUUUUUUUUUCUUCCUUUUCUUUUGUUUUAUUCCAAAGGAGAGGGUUUGAGUUACUUUUCCAAUUGUCCGCCCUUCUCGGCUGCCAACUUCCCAAAUUUGCCUGUUACUGUUCUUUUUUGGGGUGUUUUGUUUUUAUUUUAUUUUGACACUUAGCCUUGCCAACCUCGAAGAAGACUGGAGGAUUUUUUUCUUUCCGAGUUCCUCAAAACUUGUUGGACAUUUGUUUGACAUUCCCUCCGAGUUUAACUGUUUACAUUAGUGUUUACUCUGUGGAAGACAUUUUAGUUUUGUUAUACAUUUUUUCGCAUUGUCACAAUGGCUCGAAUGAACAGACCAGCCCCUGUGGAGAUUACCUACAAAAACAUGCGGUUCCUCAUUACCCACAAUCCCACCAACGCCACCCUGAACAAGUUCAUAGAGGAGCUGAAAAAAUAUGGAGUCACCACGGUUGUGAGAGUUUGUGAGGCCACCUAUGAUGCCACCCUGGUGGUGAAAGAGGGAAUCCAGGUUCUGGAUUGGCCAUUUGACGAUGGAGCUCCUCCCUCCAACCAGAUCGUGGAUGAUUGGCUGAACCUGCUGAAGCUGAAGUUCAGGGAGGAGCCCGGCUGCUGCAUCGCUGUGCACUGUGUAGCAGGGCUGGGGAGAGCUCCUGUUCUGGUGGCACUCGCUUUGAUUGAAUGUGGGAUGAAGUAUGAAGAUGCUGUCCAGUUCAUUCGACAUAACCUGAUACUGUGAUACGUAAAGCAGGGAGGCCUGAGUCAUAUCUAUAAAUAGCGGAGAUGUCAGAGAGUGAGAUAAGGAUGAUUCAGAAGCGCAGAGGAGCGUUCAACAGCAAGCAGCUGAUCUACCUGGAGAAAUAUCGUCCAAAGAUGCGCCUGCGUUUCAAAGAUUCCAACGGCCAUCGCAAUAACUGCUGCAUCCAAUAGAGCCAAACAUUGAGCCACGCCAACCCUUCCCCAACCUACCCUCCAACACAGAAGAGUUUAAUUAAACCUUGCUAGCUUAUAACCUGGCAGGCUUCCUUUUUCUUUUUUUUCUGUUUUUCUUCAUUGUGUUGAAGUAUUUUAAUUUGGAAAACCAUGCUUGGUAAAUGAAAUUUCCCCUUCCCUUUCUAGUUUCAAAAUUAAAUGUCAAAAAAAAAUGAAAAAGAAGAGUUGUGUGAACCGAGUUUUUUCUUCAUGUGCCCAGGAAAAAAAAAAUAGGAAGAGUCGUGUAUCAUUGUAAGAUGUUGGAUUAACUGUUUUCUGCAAAUGCAUCCCAAAGAUUUUGAUUGGCCCGUGCUUUCAUAUCGCCUGAAAAUGUGUUUAAAAAAAAAAAAAGAAAAUAGGAAAAAGAAAUGUUUUCUUGAUGUGAACAAUUAUGUGUAUCCUGUUCAAUUUUAGGAUUCAGUUUCAAGACUGACUAGAAAGAGGUAUGCCUUUCUUCAAAUCAGAUGGAUCAUCCAUAAAUGCCUUACAAUCGGAAGUGGAACAAAGGCAAUCGGGCGGGAGUCGGCUCCUGUUGGCAUUUGGAAAAGGUGUUUCAUUUUUCUACUUGGAACAAAAAAAAAAAAACCUAAACUGUUGCCUUUGUCUUGUGCAGGAAGUCUUACACACACUUAUGCCCUUUCAGUAACUAUUUUUUAUUAUAAAUGCUUAACUGUUGCAAUAUUUGUCAAUUGAAAGUCUAGGAACUUUUUAGUCUUUAUCAGACCUUCUGUUUACUUAUUAACUGCCAUGUUAAAAUAAAAAUGUGAUCUUUUUCUUUUUUCCUUUUUUUUUUUUUUUUUUGGUUUAUUUUUGUUUUGUUUGUGUGUGUGCGCUUCAAACUGGACUUCCAACAUCUGCAAUAUUUUGUAUGCCUUUUUAUUUGAUGUCCAUAACUUAAGACUUGGAUACUUGAUGAUUUUAUGUAUUUGAAAAUGUGUACUAUUAUUAUUAUUAUUAUUAGGUUGGCUAUUUAUACUAUCAAUGGAUGUGUGAUUUAGUACAGUGAGCAACAAAGUUUUACCUGUUCACCAACUUGUGAGAGUACAUUAAAUGAUACACUGAAAAAAGA